AGAGGUGUGGCUCAGUGGAAGAGCACUUGCCUAGCAUGUGCAAGGCCCUGGGUUCCAAUCCCAGCACUACAA
rnacentral:tRNA from 1 species